rnacentral:rRNA from 1 species
AGUGAACGCUGGCGGUAGGCCUAACACAUGCAAGUCGAACGGCAGCACAGUAAGAGCUUGCCCUUACGGGUGGCGAGUGGCGGACGGGUGAGGAAUACAUCGGAAUCUACUUUUUCGUGGGGGAUAACGUAGGGAAACUUACGCUAAUACCGCAUACGACCUACGGGUGAAAUCAGGGGAUCUUCGGACCUUGCGCGAUUGAAUGAGCCGAUGUCGGAUUAGCUAGUUGGCGGGGUAAAGGCCCACCAAGGCGACGAUCCGUAGCUGGUCUGAGAGGAUGAUCAGCCACACUGGAACUGAGACACGGUCCAGACUCCUACGGGAGGCAGCAGUGGGGAAUAUUGGACAAUGGGCGCAAGCCUGAUCCAGCCAUACCGCGUGGGUGAAGAAGGCCUUCGGGUUGUAAAGCCCUUUUGUUGGGAAAGAAAAGCAGCAGGUUAAUACCCCGCUGUUCUGACGGUACCCAAAGAGUAAGCACCGGCUAACUUCGUG